AUGGGCGCUUCAUUGCAACCUCAACAACACCCUGCCGCCCGCCGUCGAAGCUUCACUGGAGCGCCAUCGCCGCGCGGCGGUGCUCCAUCGCAGCACUGGCUGCCCUGUCGAAGUUCCAGCAUAGCAUUGAUGGCCGCCGACAAAGCUUCACUACAACGCAACACGACAAUGAUGGGGGUGCUGCGACAAAGCACACAACGGCAACGUGCGGAUCUUGCGACACAACACGAUGGCGAUGGAGAUGCUGCGAUGCAGCACACAUUGGCGAUGGAUGGAUCUUGCAGCAGCAAAAGGAGCUCCUGA
rnacentral:rRNA from 1 species